GGGGGAUUAGCUCAGCUGGGAGAGCGCCUGCUUUGCACGCAGGAGGUCACCGGUUCGAUCCCGGUAUCCUCCA
rnacentral:tRNA from 1 species